UACGUAGGGGGCAAGCGUUAAUCGGAAUUACUGGGCGUAAAGCGUACGCAGGCGGCUAUGCAAGACAGAUGUGAAAUCCCCGGGCUCAACCUGGGAACUGCAUUUGUGACUGCAUGGCUAGAGUCCGUAAGAGGGGGGUGGAAUUCCACGUGUAGCAGUGAAAUGCGUAGAGAUGUGGAGGAACACCGAUGGCGAAGGCAGCCCCCUGGGAUGAGACUGACGCUCAUGUACGAAAGCGUGGGGAGCAAACAGG
rnacentral:rRNA from 1 species